GUCGGCAUAACUGUUAAGGUUGUUGUCUUCACUUCAGUUUUAAUAUCAAACAUUAUCAAGUCGAAGAAAUAAUCAUGUAGCACCGCAGUAGGUGGUUCUAAAAUAAAAAUUUCAAAUAUAAAUUUGAAAUUUUCAACUCAUACCAGUGGUAUUUUCGGCCAUAAGUACGAGAUGUAAUCGAUCCAGAUGCCUUCGUCAAGCAUUCGUCUAAACAUCGAUUCGCAAGAUAGAGGCUGAAAACUAAAAGCAAGUUGUAUUGGAUGAAGCCCGGUUAUUAACUCAAUUUUAAAUGGAAUGUGUUAAAACCCACCCUUCAGUAACAAAAAUUUUAUUUAUAACACCUUGGUAUAAUCGAUAGAUAUCCAGAAGCCUUCGUCAAGCAUUCGUCUAAACAUAGAUUCGCAAGGUAGAGGCAGAAAACUAAAAGCAAGUUGUAGUGGAUUAAACCUAUAGGUUUAUGGGAAAUCCUCCACUCUUGGAAAACAUUCUGUAAUUCAACAGUGACAAACUAACGAAUGAAUAAAACACCUUGGAUUUUAA